rnacentral:rRNA from 1 species
GACGGACGCUGGCGGCGUGCUUAACACAUGCAAGCCGAACGGUAAGGCCCUUCGGGGUACACGAGUGGCGAACGGGUGAGUAACACGUGGGUGAUCUGCCCUGCACUUCGGGAUAAGCCUGGGAAACUGGGUCUAAUACCGGAUAGGACUCCGGACUGCAUGGUCUGGGGUGGAAAGCUUUUGCGGUGUGGGAUGGGCCCGCGGCCUAUCAGCUUGGUGGUGGGGUGAUGGCCUACCAAGGCGACGACGGGUAGCCGGCCUGAGAGGGUGACCGGCCACACUGGGACUGAGAUACGGCCCAGACUCCUACGGGAGGCAGCAGUGGGGAAUAUUGCACAAUGGGCGCAAGCCUGAUGCAGCGACGCCGCGUGAGGGAUGACGGCCUUCGGGUUGUAGACCUCUUUCAGCACCGACGAAGCGCAAGUGACGGUAGGUGCAGAAGAAGGACCGGCCAACUACGUGCCAGCAGCCGCCGUAG